AAUACUCACAAGGGGCGAACAUAGAGGGGACAAUACAACCUGAUGUGGGGUCAGAUUAACGGAUGGGAUUACAAAAAAGGUGAAUUUAAAAAUUUACAAAAAUGACAAAAUAGCAAAAAAUCGAAUGAAGAACAGACCGGAAGACAUUACGGAUGGAUCGGAACAGCGUCGUG